rnacentral:rRNA from 1 species
ACUAAAUAGAUACCCGGGUAGUCCACGCCCUAAACGAUGGAUACUAGGCGUAAGAGGUAUCGACCCCUCUUGUGCCGCAGCUAAACGCAUUAAGUAUCCCGCCUGGGGAGUACGGCCGCAAGGUUGAAACUCAAAUGAAUUGACGGGGACCCGCACAAGCGGUGGAGCAUGUGGUUUAAAUUCGAUACUAACCGAAGAACCUUACCCAGACUUGACAUCGAUCGCAAGCUCUAGAAAUAGGGCCCUCCCCCACAAGGGGACGUGAAGACACUUGUUGCAUGGCUGUCGUCAGCUCGUGCCGUGAGGUGUACGGUUAAGUCCGCCAACGAGCGCAACCCUCGUCCUGUGUUACCAGCGAGUAAAAUCGGGAACUCACAGGAGACCGCCGGUGUAAGCCGGAGGAAGGUGAGGAUGACGUCAAGUCAGCAUGGCAGUUACGUCUGGGGCUACACACAUGCUACAAUGGGCGCAACAAAGGGCAGCGAUACCGUGAGGUGGAGCCAAUCCCAAAAAUACGCCCCAGUUCAGAUUGCAGUCUGCAAC